AUGGAGAUGUGCAAAUUCAGAUUCCUUGACCAGCCUCCAUUAAACAGGUAUGAAUGUGUGUUUAAAGAUGGAGGUCUGAUGCAGAAUUAUGCAGAAACCAACAUACAGAUUGUCGUGCUUUGGAGCGGCACAAGUGAACGAAAGUGGAAUCAGAACAUCAUACCAGGUACGAUGUGGGUUGAGGUUUUGCUAGAAUCUUGGAUCAUAAGCUUUAUGGUUGGAUGA